rnacentral:lncRNA from 1 species
AGAUUAUAUUUUAUUUUUAUAAAAUGGUAACACACAUCCAUGUUUUGAAACUUAUAAUGACUUUGAUUCUCUUACCCCACUUUCAUUUUUUUGCUCAUUAACAGGGAUAGCAAAAUGGCUAAUACCAUUCUCUAUCUUCAGGAAUUGGAGUCAGUUAGUGGCUUCACCCACAUCUUCGGGCGAUUACAAGAUACUUAACGGCAUAAAAACGGUACUGAUGACCAUGACAAUAGUAGCACAUCGAUCCAUGUUUACUGCCGAGCGAGUGGCGUUAACUAAUUGGUCUUAUUUUGAAAGGAGAUUCCAUGAAUUCAGCAUCUUCUUCGUCGGCAUGCCCAUACCAGAUAUUUUUCUUUCAAAACCGGCUUUUUACUCUGUCUUUCUAUGCUAAAACAAUUAGAGAAAAAAACUUUCAAUGUGUGGGUACACGCGGCCAACAAGUUGCUCAGGUAAGCGUAACGUCUUGACACAAAAGAGUUGUACAAGUCUUGUCUUAGAUCAAAUGUUUAAGCUUUAAUAUUACCUUCAAUAAAUGCGCGGUUAAGGCGACACAGAUCCACUUUUUGCAUUAUGAAACCAUCAUUUAGGCUCAUUUUAGAAACAACACAUGUGCCAUCAGUUUCCUUGUGCAGAAAGGUGCUUUUAGAAUGAGCCAGAAAUACCGGUCCCUUCUUGCAAAAUGAAACCCACUUUAUAAAAAAUGUGUGGCGAGAAUAUCAACAUUAUAAAUCAGGGAAAUUAAUCACAAACUAUAUUAACUCGUGUAAAACAAUCUGUAAAUUGCCAUGUAAAUACAUGUUAUGAACCAUCAAACUCCAAAGGUGAAGCAACUCAAGAUAUUGAAAGACGUAUACAUAGUGAAAAAUUUUAGUACAAAGAAGGUCUCCUUUUCUUAAUUCACGUCAAACUCCAGCACCAAAAUAUCAACACUAAAUGGCGGAGUAAUUUGGUAUUAUUUGCAAAUAAAAAUAAAUGUACCACUUUUUACCUUUUUUUUUUUUUUUGUAAAAAUUUGGGAGUGAGAGUCAUUGAAGCAAAUGUCACGCAAUUAUUUGAGGGUGUCUUAAGCAGCGUUACAACCUCUUUACAAGAGCUAGAUGGGUGUAAAAAAUGCGGAAAAAUUGUGUGACGUAAUUUAUGGACAUUCCUUGAAGAAGUCUCAGUCAUUCCUUGAAGAAGUCUCAGUCAUUCCUUUGUCUCUAAGCGUAAAGUAAAUAUCUAAAAAUGUAACUCUACUUCGUCUUCCCUUUUUCCUUCGUUCUUUUUACCAUUUAUUUAAAAAAUGAUUUG